GAGCAUUUUGUGCACAAGGCAUAGCAUCUUGCUCUUCUGGUUUUGAAUGGCGGGACCUCAGUGUUUGGUGUAUCAGCCAAGGCCACAGAUAGGAAACCUUUUUGCAGUGAAGACCCUGCUUGACUUGACUCAAUGGGGUGGCAGCUGUGGCUGUCAUUAACAGAUAAGUUGUGCCAGCUGGCUUCUUGCCGCCCUUUGGUGGGGGUCUGGUUGGUGCUUAGCAGUUACCGCUUCCUCUCCAGAUAGCUGCCAAGAUGAGGAAGGAACCUGUUCAUCCAUCUGAUGACCAGAUUAGAGUAGCUGCUGAAUUAGCUGCUGUGAAAUACCUAUAGACCAUCAGGAGCAGUUUCCAAGGAGACUACAUCCUUGUGGGCUGAAUCUUCAGCAGGUACAUAUUAGCUCAUUUCCAGUGAAGUCUUCAGGCAGAAAGACAACUUCUCACAGACCUGUCUUACCACCUGCUUCCUGUUUUAUUUUUUCAUGGAUGCAACUUUCCCUGCAGGAAGAAGGGAACAGUUUUCUCCAUGCACCUGUUGGGGGAGAGAAACAAGGCUGCUUCGACCAUCAAUCUGUGGGACCUCAGAGCUCAGCCUGAAAGCAAGGGUGAAACGAAAUACGAAAAUUGCACUGCAGUAGAAGAGGAGUCAGCUAUCUGAGGGCCUCUGCUGAAAUCCCAUCUUUCGGGUGAUGUGGGAUUUCUCACCUUCUGAAAAUCCUGUUCAUGCUGCUGCUUCACAUUACUGGUUUCCCAAGUUGGUGCUGUAACUUCCUCAUUUGCCAUGGAAGGAUUGCUAUCUCAACUCAUCGGCACUGUUUAAAACCUGAUUACUGGUUUCAGAAAUUGAGAUUACCAUUUCUGCUCCUAUUUAAGACUGAGGGAGAAAUGUGAAAGUCUGAAAUCUUUUCAACACUGGAAAACAGCUUUCUACCAAGUGCCCCUCAAAUGAGAUUGCAGAAAUUCUUCUUUCUCCUUCCCUGGCUCUGUUACUACGCAGUUCUCUUCAUGCUUGUCUCCAAGACCAAAUCUGAGCCAGCCUGAGAUUUGUGCUAACGGAAAUCAUAGUUUCUUCAGCCAAGAACAUCUAGUUUGAAGUCUGAGAAGGGCUGGUAUAUCUCCAUAACAGUGUGUAAGGACAGCCCAAACAUCUUCACAUUCCCAGCCUGGAUUCCUGCUGCCAGCAAGCCCGUUGGAUGCUCCUGCUUGGCUUCUGGCUGCGCUCGCUGCCGGAUCCGUGUGUGAUGAUGGCACCACACCGAGAACAGGGUGGUCUGCCGGUACCCUGGGGAUGCAGAGGUCAAGUUGGGUUCCAAUGGAGCCUCCAUGGAGCAUCCUUGGUGUGAGAGACCAGUGAUGACAACAAGCUUUCUCCAUCACAAAGCAGAAGAGAUGUGAUCCUCUUUCCUGUGCUGAAGGAUGAGACACCUUGGGUAAAAGCCCCACAAGGGAGAUCUCCAUCGGUGUCUUCUGCCACAUGUUGACCUCUACAUCCCUUAGUGCUACUGAAAUCUUCUGUGCACCCCACAGGCCUGAGGGAGAUUGGUGGUGUGGCUGGAGAGAUAAAUCCCUUUCAGAGGAGCAGCGUCUUUUGUUACAACAUGGGUGAUAAAAUGAAUUGUACAGCUGUUAAAGUACUUUUAUACCAUGAUAACUGCAGCCACCCAAGGGUUUGUAAGCCAGAGCUACACAACAUAACAAGAAAACCCAGCUGUAUUUAAGCUGGCAUUGGACCCCACAUGCACUAAUCUCGCACAGUUGCAAGGGUGAAGAGUCAACAACUAUUUGCCAGGAAGCUUUAUAAACACUGCUGACAUGCUUGAGCUAAGAGUACAUUGGGUCAAUAUACAAAUUUAUGUAUCUCUCAAUAAAACAUACAUUCAUGUGGCUUUUGGGUCAAACUUAAAGGGCAUUUACCUCUGAUAGGCACCAGCUGUUAUUUUCCUGCAGAAUUCUGGGACUCCAAAAGCACAGACAGCCAGAAAGUCUGAAUUUAAGAGGAGGAGGAUUAAAGAAGAUCCACAACAGUAAAUAAGUUCUGCAAAGAUGCCAUUUUGUGGUGAAGUCAUGCCACUACCAUUAUCAACCAGCCAUAGCAACUGGUAUCAGAAGGACACCACAGCAUUGCUAUCAGGUGGGUUAGUAGUAAUUAUAAGGUGCUUAUUCAGUCUAAGGAAAAUACACUGCAGAUUACUCACUGGCAUCCAAAAUGGCAUAAUUAAUUGGAGCCAUUUAUUAAGACAAAUAAAGGGUUAUAGCUAAGCAGGGUGCUUACAGUUAAUUUAUAGUUAACUAGGGCAUUCAUUUUACCCUGCUCACAUCCACCUAGCAGUUUAGUGAGAAGAUUUCAUCAUGCCUUUGAGAAGUGCGAAUGCUGGGUCUUCUCUCAUGCCAUGUGACCUUACCACCCUUAAUGUGUUUGCAGUUGGUAAAAGACUGUUUUCCUUUGCCCAGUUAUGGUUUAAAUGGUCUUUCUCAAAUCAGUAUUUCUUCAGCUCUCUAACAACUAAAGCGCAGUAAAAAUAUACCUUAUUUUCUCAUGUCUUGCAUGUGCUGAAUCUUUCCUAUGCCCAUAAUCAGGGGUGAUCCUCAACUAGUUUAUAAGAGAUUUAUCAUGAGAUCAUACAUUGUUUUCAUAAAACUCAUACAGAAGUCCACAUGAGCUCUUUUAUCAUUGGUAAAACAGUCCCAGCUCAGUUCAAAAGAGUUAUUAUAAACCAAGACAAAAUAUUUUCUCAGAGAAUCAUGCCGAUUGAAGUUUAAGUGUAUGUGCAGCUUCUGGCUCCUCAUUGCACCAUGCUACCUGCAAAUUGGGUGGAGAGCACCUUAAGCUAAGUCUUUUAAUUGCUCUGUUAGAAAUGACAUGGGGGCUGCUACUGGUCUCUUUUCACAGAGGUCACCCUACACCCCCCACUACAAACCCUUGUCAUGUAAACCCAAUGCAGCUGUCUAAUUGUUACAGUUUUGUGAAGGGGGGGGGGGGGUAUGAACCUUGUCCAUAUCAGAUUUGUAUUUCUGCUCAAAUUUGUUUAUUGUCUGUUCUUUGUAAGCUCGUUUUAUCGACUGUUUUUUUCUUAUUAGAUGUUCAUACUAACUGGGAUUGCAAUGCACUGAAAUCUCAUAAUGUUCUGGUUUUUUAUACCACUGGUCACUCUGCCCUAACCCUAGAUGUAUGCACUGAAUAGCCACAUUGUUCGUUUAUAAUGUCCUUGGCUUUUCUAUAGCCUUGUCCCUGUGAUAUUACUUGUGGACACAGUGGGCUAGAUUGAAGACAGUGAAGUUAAAAGUAGUGAUGUAUGCAGCUAUGUAACUGUAAGAAGAAAUGUAUUGAUUCCACAUACUUCCUUUUCUAACCUGCUGUAAGGUGUUUCAUCAUGCAGGACAUCAUGGAGAUCUUAUAUUUAUUACUUAACAUACAUUGAAAGGUUUGACUUCUCUUUCUUGCUGGCUUUCUGAAUGGAAAAAGCUGUUGUUAACAUGUCUUGCGUGUCAGAGAUCAGGCUGUUCAUGACAGCUUAUGAAGCUUUGAACGUAUAUAGUAAUAGAGAGGAAUGGCAAACUGUUAUAUUAAUGUAGCUGAAGCACAAAACUUGAAACUGUUGACCUUGCCAGCUCUGCAUUUGGGGCAAAUGUUACUGCAGUGAAUAGAGUAACUUUAACUAGGCUUAAACAGAAGUUGUUUUUAAUUUUUUUUUUCACAUGUUUUGCCCUGGUAUAGAUAAAUGUGAAUGCCUAAGAAGGGCUGGGCAAAAGACUAAAGAUAGAUGCAAUUUUGCAAA